rnacentral:lncRNA from 1 species
UUUUGAAGAUCUUUAUUGAGAAAAAGCAGAACAAACAUUUUUCAAGUGAUUCAGUUACAAUUUGCUAAGAAAACAAUCCAAUACACCAAACAGUUAACAAUCUUAUAUUGGGAAAAAGUGAUUACAAGCAAUUUUCCGUUACAGGGCAUAUUUGUCAAAGAUUCAAACUUUUCAAAAUGAGCAAAUAUUACUUGUGUAAUAAGAACUUUAAAGAUAUAUAUGUAUAUAUAAAGGAAAAUGAAAUAGAUUUCACAAAAAUUCUUCUGCAUCAUCCAAUUUCUAAAACUUUAAACACAGCAAUUCAAAAACAGACUUCUAGGCUGAUGGGAAGUGAAAAACUGUCACUGAAAUACUUCCGCAAGCUUUUGAUGCCUCUGCUCAUGGACUCUGAUGCUCACGUGUCACAUCCCCAGACUCCCAGGAGUUUUAUAUUUUAAAUAAGCACAAGGAAAACAAACACAAAUGAAAAGCACAGAAAUGAAAGAAAGCACUGUCCAAAGAGCAAACAACACACCCACUCCCCCAAAAAGGACCAAAGAGCCAGAGCGGACCAGGAACGAGACUACUCAGACGGUUCCAACAACAUCCCUCUAGUUAGUGAAAAACCUAUUUCCCCUUCUAGGGCCUCAUGUGAAAGUUACAUGCAAUAGCAAAAAUAAAAGUACUCUAAAAUUGUUAAGAACUACCAUUAGCAGAACUUUGCUCACCAGUGCCCACAAUGUCCUGCGUGACCCAGCCCUGCCCGUCUCUCCCUGCGCUCCAGCGAACACUCCAGACACAGCCUAGGCACCUUCCCAUCACUGGGCCUUCACACCUGGGACACUGCCCCCCUGCCCCCAGUUCUCCCACCUCCCAGUCCUCCACUCCACAGACUGCCGUGAGAAAGGCUUUACCAUUUCUCCUUCGUGGUGCUUAUUACAACUGUACCUGCUUCUUCAUGUACUUACUUGAGGACACGUGCCUUCCCCACCGCAGGAGAAACUAGCUAAGGAACACUUUCCAAUCACUGGAACCCAGUACAAUGCCGACAUACGACAGGUCCGCUCAUAGCAUAUCCCCCUUUCUAGCCUAAGGCUAACCCCUACACAUUAGUUCUUUCCCUCAAAUCUAAAAUUACAAAAGGACUCUACAAUACUGGUCUUUAUCAACGGCUACAUCCAAGGUUCCAUGGAAUCCCACAGUAUUCACUCACAGGCUUAGACCACGUGAAGACGCCCUGCAAAGCUAUCAGAAGCAUUGCGAUCCCUACCCCAUCGAAGUAUCUGAAUGCAGUUUGACGGGGUAAUUUCGCAGUUGCCAAUCUGUCAGAAAACUACCAUGAAUUAAUUCAUGAUCACAUCUUUAACCUUAAAACUUGCUCCUAUAAAUACCAUCAGAAAAAUAAAUCUCACUUGAAAAUUUAGCUGAUCUGUCGGACUUCAACUAGUGCUGGUGCUGCUCAAGAGAGGUCUUGGGGGGGGUUCUUUUCCUGAAUUCAGCAUUAAGCCUCUUCCUAAGGCAGAGUGGUAGCUCUAACACUGGGCUGCCACGUAAACUUAGCACUAAUCGGGGAGCCAGCACCAAACUCCAGAGCAAAGAAUAGGUCUUUGUACUGGUAAAAUAAUUACUAAUGACAUGCUAUUUUUAAAAGUAUCAUCUCUGGAGUUCCUGUCGUGGCGCAGUGGUUAAUGAAUCCGACUAGGAACCAUGAGGUUGCGGGUUUGAUCCCUGGCCUUGCUCAGUGGGUUGAGGAUCUGGUGUUGCCAUGAGCUGUGGUGUAGGUUGCAGACACGGCUCGGAUCCGUGUUGCUGUAGCUGUUGCUCUGAUUCGACCCCUAGCCUGGGAACUUGCAUAUGCCCCGGGUGUGGCCCUAAAAAGCAAAACAAACAAACAAACAAACAAAAAGCAGACAGACAGAAAAAAAUGAAUCUGACCUACAAUCAACUCAAGACAGCAUUUAAUCAAGAACCUCUGGGGAGCCAGCGGGCACUGUUCAUGGUGCUGGAAUACGGCUCGAGUCCAGGGAACACUAGAGGGCGCAGGAGAGGUUCAGCUUUUGGGAAGAUCUGCUCAGGGCUACUAAGGAGCCUGGGGACCUUGCAAAACCUAAGGGACGCAAGUGAAAACCACUGAUGAACAGAGCAGAGGGUGGGUGCAAAAAAGGAAGCAGAACGACCCUUCGCUGAGGGGACCUUCUGCCUUAGACCUGAGAGGCAAUCACAGGGCUUCUAUGAGACCUACCGACCAGGGAGAGUUACGAGUCCAGGUGUCUGCUUCACCCUGACACACGCGACUGAGCAUUCGCCAACCUGGCAACCCUAUGAGGUAGAUGAGACGGGUGUUAUCACUACAACUGAGAUGGCACAGCUCAGAAAUGAAGUUGCCUUCCUGAGGCCAAACUGCUUUAAGUGGUAAGGCUGGGUCCAAACCCGUAGGGCUAAGUCUGGGAUUUACUCCAGUUCUUGAGCCACGCCAGAUCCGAGCCGUGCCUGCAUCCUAUGCCCCGACUGUAGCAAUGCCGGAUCCUCAAGCCACUGAACGAGGGCAGGGAUUGAACCCACGUCCUCAUGAAGACGAGUCGGCCACAAUGGGACCUCGUGUACUCUCUUCUUUGCGUGCUAUGAUAACGCAGAAAAGAUGACACUGUGCAGAGACACAAGUGACAAGUAGGAGCCACGGGGUACAGACACCAUACAGACCUUAAGGAUCAAGCUCUGGGGAGCCUAGUCUCCAAAUUCCAAAACCCAACUGACUGUAAGCUGUCCCAAUGUAAGUUUCUUUUGAAAUUUAAUAACACGUUUAGAAAACGAGAAAAGAUUAUGUGAUGAACCAUGUAAACCAACUGGAGAGAUGGCAAAAUGUGAUGAAGUGUAAAAGUACCAUUUAGAAUUGGAGGGGAUCUUGGAGACUAAUAUUCAGGUACCUGGCAGAUGAAGAAACUGAGGCCUGGCCCUCCCAGUGCCACAUAAACAUGGAGCAGUCGGGAGCACAGGUACUGAUUCUUGCUCCAGCAGGCCUUCGCCCAGCCCCAGAACUACAUGCAUGCACGGUCAUAAUUAUACACAACUCCAGAAGUCUGCGCAGUUUGAGUCUGUCUCUCACAGGUGUCGCCAGCCCCAAACGUGGCUGACGGACGUGGGAGCCACAGGCAGGGAGGGACCGAGUGACCAAAGUGGACCCAUGGUCCCAGGAACCCUUUAGCUCAACGGAAGAAAAGCCGUGAAGGAAACCAUAAUUUAGAGCAUCAACGACUUAUGGAAAUCAGUGACUUUUUCCGUUUUGUUAGACUAUUUUAGCAUAGUAAAUGGUUCUGGUCCCACCCUCAACUAUCUAAAGAUAGUAUAUGCACUCUAACACUGAAUCUGAGCAAUAGGGGGUCAAAAGAAAAGUGUUUUGUUUUGGUUUGUUUUUAAGCUAGACAUUUACGUGGAUUUAUAAAAAUAAGGUGAUGAGUCUUUCUCGCACAGAUGGAUUCUCUCUAUACCAUGCCCUUAAAAUAGUAAAAUCCUGUAAUGCAUGUAAAAUAAGAUGUGCGUGACUAAAAUCUGGGAACGCAUCUGUUGGAUAAAACAAGAUAUAUUUGUAAGUGAAAAGUACUUUCUGUAAUUUGCCUAGGACAGAGAAACUCUAAUACCACUGCAGACAAGUACAGGGCUAGAUACUGGUUAUGCAUGACCUUUGCUCUCAGCCAACACUUUAAAUCUAGGAAACACCAAAUGAUGGGGAAGAAAAGGGAUUACUGUAAAAACUAAAGAAAAAACAGAUUUGUAGAAGGUUUUUGCGGGGAGGGGGCCAGAAUGUACUGCUGAUAGAAACUUUCGCAAGCACCACGCAUCCCUGUUGUUGGCCAGGAACCUGCCUUGGACAGUUUGUUUGAGUGAACUCAGUCAUUAAAAAUGGAGGGUCAAUUCAUGUUUCACACUUAAGAGCUUCCAAUAAAAUGUUUUAAGAUUUCAAAUUUGACAGUGUAUCCAAGAAAGAAAUUACUUUUCAAAUCACUGUAUUCUAAUGGUUAGAGAUCUCUAAUGCUUGCAGUUGCAAGUGCUUUGGGAGUUCCUGAUGUGGCAAAACAGGAUCAGCAGUGUCCCUGUGGCGCCAAACACAUGUAGCAUCCCCACCUGGCACAGAGGGUUUAAGGAUGCCACACUGCUGAAGUUGCGGCAUAGGUUAAAAAAAACUGUGGCUCGGGAUCUGAUCCCUGGCCUGGGAAUUCCAUAUGCCAAGGGGCGGCCAAAAGUAAAAAGUAAACAAAUAAAUAAAGGUCAUUGGCUAGUUUUACCUUGUAGCAAAUUUGUCUUGUAAUAAAUUUUAUUGCAAUUUAAAACCAUUUCCAUAGUUCCCUGGUGGCUAAGUGGGUUAAGGAUUCGGCAUUGUCACUGUGUUGCUGCUCUGGUUUGGGUUUGAUCCCUGGCCCAGGAACUUCCAUAUGCCAUGGGCAGGGUCCCCUCCAAAACCAAGAAACCCAAUUUCCCACACCAAGAAAUGUUAGUAGAAUACAUUUUUCCCCACUUAACUAAAAAUCAGGCUGAAAAACUGUUACACUUUACACAUAAAACUCAUCUAUUGCAUAAAGAUCUGAGAUGUAACUAUCCCGUGCUCUCUUCCUGCAUUUAUUUAACCAACUAGGGAACCAACAGAGUGUCCGACUCGAGCAAAGACCUACCACUGCGGGGAAACCUCAACAGUUAAGAGUGUUGCAGGGUUGACACAGUCCUGUAACUUGGAGGAGGAGGACUCUGUGAGUGGAGAGGAAGUAAAGCUCCCAUCUAGCUGGCAGGAACAUAAAAUAACAGACUUAAAGACAUCAUUCAUCUGAAAAGGUCUACUCUCCUAAGCCACAGGAGGGGUGUCCACGUGGACAGGGAGCUGUUCAGAUGCUACACACACAAAUGGCUCUGCAACACAACCAGACCACACCCUCAUGUCCUAUAAGCCCACAAAUGGAUACUCAAAGAGAAUUCAGAUUCAAUCCAAGAUAUUUAUGACCCAAAGGAAAAUUUAUAAACAUGCUCCACCCACAAAACUCUAAACUCAACAACACACGACAAACAAACCACCACCACCACUUUCUUCAGGUGCAUGUUCCACUCUGCCCCCCCUCCCCACCCCCAAUGAUGCCCCUGGUAUGUGGUUCCCGUCUAGGUACCCGAGCACUUUAAUGUACAGGGGAAGACAAAUGAAAACACAAGCAAGAGAGCACUUGGAAAUGACUCCGAGUUUGGUCUCAAAGUUUAUGGGUAAAAAGUUAAGCUCCACUCUCCUCUCCUCUUGAAAAGUACCCUAUUACGCCUUUCACUCUCAAACUAAGUUGUUCUGUUAAUGACAAUGAUUUUUUUAAACAACGGAAUGAACGUAUUUUGAAAACCUACAUAUAAAUCAUUAAGCUCCAUAACUUAGAGAUUAAUAAAUGAACACUUCCUCAAGUGCCUACUGAGCCAAGCCGAGAAUACCAAGCUCACAAGAAGGCUGAGGGGACGGGCAGGUAACCAACCAAGGAAAACACCAGGCAACACCUGCUGAGGAGCAGGAGGUGGGGUGCGCCCUCCGGAGGGGUCAGCCCUGGAUCUGCCUGCCUAAGAGGCUGGCAGGGGUGCCAGCGCUGCGGGGCGGAGCGGGGGGCGCAGCAAUUCUGAGGAUGGAUGGCAGUCUGGGAGAGGGAGGGGAGGAAGGCGGACAGGAUGUGACUGAAACUACUGAGGCCAGAGCUUGGCAGAGGAAGAGCAGAGUGUGAGAGACUAAAAACGGGAAAAUGGACCCGAGUUCCCACCGAAACUGCGAUUAAGGCGUUUGUGGACUUUAAUCUUGGAAUCCAGGGAGCCCACAGUGACAGGGCCACACCUGUGAUGGAAGCUGCUACACAUUCGGCCAGAAAAUGUAUGUGUGUCUCAAGCAAGCAAGUAACUCUUCAAGCAAGUUUCCCAAGGCGGACAAACUAGCUGCGAUUAUUUCCGGCAAAAAGGAUUUCCUCCUGCCUUUUCAAAGUAUGUAGACUCUUCCUACUCCUCAUCAACAGUCACAGGCGGACAUGUAUGUUCUCAACGUCAAAGACCAAAAGAAAAAAGGUGCAGCUGGCAACCGCCUCCUCCGCUGGCCUCCAAAGCCACCUGUGCCUACACACGUCACAUCCAAACAGACGGCAUCUAGAGAGGUCCCGGUGCAAAGAAUCACAGCGGCCACCCACCGAUUCUUCCCUCUCCGGAUGCGACGGGGCGAGCUCGGCAGCACUGGCCGCGGAGGACGCGCGGUCGCCGCCUGAGCG